rnacentral:rRNA from 1 species
UACGGAGGGGGCUAGCGUUGUUCGGAAUUACUGGGCGUAAAGCGCACGUAGGCGGCUUUUCAAGUUGGGGGUGAAAUCCCCGGGCUUAACCCGGGAACUGCCUCCAAAACUGAAAGGCUCGAGUCCGAGAGAGGUGAGUGGAAUUUCCAGUGUAGAGGUGAAAUUCGUAGAUAUUGGAAAGAACACCAGUGGCGAAGGCGGCUCACUGGCUCGGUACUGACGCUGAGGUGCGACAGCGUGGGGAGCAAAC